UUUAAUAUGGCAGAACAGUGCAAAGGCCUUAAAAUCCUUACAUAAAGAUUCUAAAAAUCUUUUAUUAAAA
rnacentral:tRNA from 1 species